GACGAACGCUGGCGGCGUGCUUAACACAUGCAAGUCGAACGGAAAGGCCCUGCUUUUGUGGGGUGCUCGAGUGGCGAACGGGUGAGUAACACGUGAGUAACCUGCCCUUGACUUUGGGAUAACUUCAGGAAACUGGGGCUAAUACCGGAUAGGAGCGCCUGCUGCAUGGUGGGGGUUGGAAAGUUUCGGCGGUUGGGGAUGGACUCGCGGCUUAUCAGCUUGUUGGUGGGGUAGUGGCUUACCAAGGCUUUGACGGGUAGCCGGCCUGAGAGGGUGACCGGCCACCUUGGGACUGAGAUAAGGCCCAGACUCCUACGGGAGGCAGCAGUGGGGAAUAUUGCAACAUGGGCGGAAGCCUGAUGCAGCCACGCCGCGUGCGGGAUGAAGGCCUUCGGGUUGUAAACCGCUUUCGCCUGUGACGAAGCGUGAGUGACGGUAAUGGGUAAAGAAGCACCGGCUAACUACGUG
rnacentral:rRNA from 1 species